GAUGAACGCUGGCGGCAUGCCUAAUACAUGCAAGUCGAACGAGAGGAAGGAAAGCUUGCUUUUCUGAAUCUAGUGGCGAACGGGUGAGUAACACGUAGGUAACCUGCCCAUGUGCCCGGGAUAACUUCUGGAAACGGAUGCUAAAACCAGAUAGGUAGCAGACAAGCAUUUGACUGCUAUUAAAGUGGCUAAGGCCAUGAACAUGGAUGGUCCUGCGGUGCAUUAGCUAGUUGGUGAGGUAACGGCCCACCAAGGCGACGAUGCAUAGCCGGCCUGAGAGGGCGGACGGCCACAUUGGGACUGAGACACGGCCCAAACUCCUACGGGAGGCAGCAGUAGGGAAUUUUCGUCAAUGGGGGGAACCCUGAACGAGCAAUGCCGCGUGAGUGAGGAAGGUCUUCGGAUCGUAAAGCUCUGUUGUAAGAGAAAAACGACAUUCAUAGGGAAUGAUGAGUGAGUGAUGGUAUCUUACCAGAAAGUCACGGCUAACUACGUGCCAGCAGCCGCAGUAA
rnacentral:rRNA from 1 species